AAGCCAGACUCCUACGGGAGGCAGCAGUGGGGGAUAUUGCACAAUGGGGGGAACCCUGAUGCAGCGACGCCGCGUGGGUGAAGGAGUAUUUCGGUAUGUAAAGCCCUAUCGGCAGGGAAGAAGCAAGACGGUACCUGACUAAGAAGCCCCGGCUAACUACGUGCCAGCAGCCGCGGUAAUACGUAGGGGGCGAGCGUUAUCCGGAUUCACUGGGUGUAAAGGGGGCGCAGACGGCGAUGCAAGCCAGGAGUGAAAGCCCGGGGCCCAACCCCGGGACUGCUCUUGGAACUGCGUGGCUGGAGUGCAGGAGGGGCAGGCGGAAUUCCUGGUGUAGCGGUGAAAUGCGUAGAUAUCAGGAGGAACACCGGUGGCGAAGGCGGCCUGCUGGACUGCAACUGACGUUGAGGCCCGAAAGCGUGGGGAGCAAACAGGAUUAGAUACCCCCGUA
rnacentral:rRNA from 1 species